UGGGGAAUAUUGCACAAUGGGCGCAAGCCUGAUGCAGCCAUGCCGCGUGUGUGAAGAAGGCCUUCGGGUUGUAAAGCACUUUCAGCGGGGAGGAAGGCGUUGAGGUUAAUAACCUCAUCGAUUGACGUUACCCGCAGAAGAAGCACCGGCUAACUCCGUGCCAGCAGCCGCGGUAAUACGGAGGGUGCAAGCGUUAAUCGGAAUUACUGGGCGUAAAGCGCACGCAGGCGGUCUGUCAAGUCGGAUGUGAAAUCCCCGGGCUCAACCUGGGAACUGCAUUCGAAACUGGCAGGCUAGAGUCUUGUAGAGGGGGGUAGAAUUCCAGGUGUAGCGGUGAAAUGCGUAGAGAUCUGGAGGAAUACCGGUGGCGAAGGCGGCCCCCUGGACAAAGACUGACGCUCAGGUGCGAAAGCGUGGGGAGCAAACAGG
rnacentral:rRNA from 1 species